GUAUACGUGAACCAAUUUUUAACCCACAGGUUCUUCAUUAAUUUAGACAACUUAAGGGUACCCUGAGGAGAUGAGAUCAGGACCUUCAGAUUAUGAGACUCACGCCCUGCCAGCUGUGCUAAGAGGGCUCCUGAGGAGAUGAGAUGAAACAUAGAUGCCAUCAGCUGAACAACUCAAUUGGAUUUGUUCUGAAAUCAAACCCGGUUUUGUGUUUGCUGCUACAAAUGAUCCAAAGCAGAAUAUGUUAUUCUAUAAAUGCAAGAAAAUAUGACCAAGAUAUUCAAAUAAUGACUAAUAUUCUUGCAUAACCACUCAAGUGAGAGAAAAACUGACUCCAGUAGAAAAGCAGCCAUGACAACCUCAUAAAUAAUAGGCACUGCUUUGAGAUCUUUUGGGUAAAUAGAAGAUGAACUUGCUCUCAGAAAACAAAUGGCACAAAGAAAUAAGUGUUAAACACAGCAAGGACUCAGAGAACACCUAGAAACAUCACCAUUGAGAUCCUUUUAUUUAUUAUUUGUCUCUGAUUAUAGAUAACUUCUCAAUCUGUUACCCAGGCUGGAGUGCAGUGGUGUGAUCAUUGCUCACUGUAGCCUCAAAUUCCUGAACUCAAGUGAUCUUCUCACAUCAGCCUCCUGAGUAGCUGGGACUACAGGUGCGUGCCAUCAUGCUUGGGUAAUUAAAUUUUUUUUUGUUUGUUUUUGGUAGAGACGAGGUCUCAUUAUGUUGACCAGGCUGGUCUCACACUCCCGGCCUCAAGCAAUCCUCUUGCCUCAUCCUUCCAAAAUACUGGGAUUACAGGCAUGAACCACUGCGUCUGGCAUCAUUGAGAUCUUUAUGGGAGAGUUUUAGGGAUACAAUUCAGUAGAAAGCAUCUGAACAUUAAAAAAGUCCUUGAUAUAUAUUCUUGGUGUGGCUCUCCAAACUAGUUUUAUUCCUGUGAUCUACCAAAACUCAUCAAAAUGUUAUGAGAAUGCUAAUUUCUCCAUAAUGUCACUAGCUGGGUAUUAAAAUUUUAAAAAUCUUUGCAGCCACAGGUGUUUAAAAAACCCCAAUUGGAGGAGAUACACCUCUUUUCAUUAACUGGUGCCCUGAGUUGCUGGCCAUCAUUACGAGAGCAUGAAAUUGUACAGAGAGGGCCUAGGAAAAUUGUCCUAAUCUGUGCUAUUUUAUGGAAGUCAACAGCUAAUCCUUUGGAAUCAGGGCUUUCCAUAGAGGAUAGGUUCAUUUAAAUAAGUGUUAUAGUUAGGAAUCUAUGACUGUGGAACAAUUUGUGAUAAUUUGAACUUUUGAAUAACCAACCACAGUAUAAUGUUUGAAAAGCUGUAAAAAAGACUUCAUCACAACUCACAAUUGAAGAUGGAGACUUUUAUAAUUCUGCCUCAAAGUGUUCCAUUUUAAACAUCCUAUAGGUAAAUAGAAGUAAAUGGCAUGUAUUUAAAUUGGAUUUGUUCUCAAACCUGUUUCAACUUGAGCAAUUGCUGCAAUAAGAUUUCCUUUAAUAUCUUCGUUUAACUGCUAUUGGUUAAAAAAAAACCCUAACUGAAGCUAUUUCUGAAAUUGAAGAUUGAACAUAAUUGAUAUUAAGUACCAUUAAGCUCAUUAUUGGUCUUGUAAAGAUAUCUCUAUAUUCUCUG
ensembl:lncRNA